rnacentral:misc_RNA from 1 species
AACGCACAUUGCGCCCGCCAGUAUUCUGGCGGGCAUGCCUGUUCGAGCGUCAUUUCAACCAUCAAGCCCCAGGCUUGUGUUGGGGGCCUGCAGCUGCUGCAGCCCUUUAAAAGCAGUGGCGGACUCGCUGUCAUUCCGAGCGCAGUAGUUACAUCUCGCUCUGGGCGUGGCGGCGGGCACCUGCCGUGAAACAUUCUUUCUAAGGUUGACCUCGGAUCAGGUAGGAAUACCCGCUGAACUUAA